rnacentral:lncRNA from 1 species
AGAGAUACAAGCCUCCUGGGUGAUAAGAAAGACAGAGAAGCAUUUUUCAUAGAGAGUUGCCAGGAUUGCUCAGCAUCCAGAUCAACCAUGAAAGGCACCAGGAGAAUGAACAUCUGCCUUUUUCUUGUCCAUGAUUCUUCUACAUAAUGCUACUGAAGCGAAGAUAUUCUUUAAUUGUAGAAACAAGAAGAGAAGCAAAUAUAUUACUAGUAUCCAGAAGCUCCUUCACAGUUUUCAGAUAAUGCUAAUGAGCUAGUUCCUGGUGUGUAUCACAAACUUCUCCCAAAUUCUUCCCCCAAACAUUCCUUCAUGGUGGAGCUAAUUAGACUAUUGCAGCUCCACCUUUCAUUACUGCUUGUAUUUUGUAGAAAUUAGUGCAUAUGUCAUGGGCCUAGGGAGACAUCCAUUGCAGGGAAAUGGGAGUAGGGCAUUCCCAGUUUUAGCUAUAAUUGAAAAUUAUUCUUAGGGACCAAAAUGCCAUUGAAUAAUUCUGCCUUUUCU